rnacentral:rRNA from 1 species
GACGAACGCUGGCGGCGUGCUUAACACAUGCAAGUCGAACGGAAAGGCCCUGCUUUUGUGGGGUGCUCGAGUGGCGAACGGGUGAGUAACACGUGAGUAACCUGCCCUUGACUUUGGGAUAACUUCAGGAAACUGGGGCUAAUACCGGAUAGGAGCUCCUGCUGCAUGGUGGGGGUUGGAAGGUUUCGGCGGUUGGGGAUGGACUCGCGGCUUAUCAGCUUGUUGGUGGGGUAGUGGCUUACCAAGGCUUUGACGGGUAGCCGGCCUGAGAGGGUGACCGGCCACAUUGGGACUGAGAUACGGCCCAGACUCCUACGGGAGGCAGCAGUGGGGAAUAUUGCACAAUGGGCGGAAGCCUGAUGCAGCAACGCCGCGUGCGGGAUGACGGCCUUCGGGUUGUAAACCGCUUUCGCCUGUGACGAAGCGUGAGUGGCGGUAAUGGGUAAAGAAGCACCGGCUAACUACGUG